CGAGCGAAGCUUUUCAGUAGUUUACUACAGAAAAUGACUGAGCGGCGAACGGGUGAGUAACGCGUGAGCAACCUACCUUGGUUACUGGGAUAGCCCGAGGAAACUCGGAUUAAUACCGGAUAUUCUUAUUUAAUCACAUGAUUUUUUAAGGAAAGGUCAGCCGAACUAAGAUGGGCUCGCGUUCUAUCAGCUAGUUGGUAGGGUAAUGGCCUACCAAGGCUACGACGGAUAGCUGGUCUGAGAGGACGAUCAGCCACACUGGGACUGAGACACGGCCCAGACUCCUACGGGAGGCUGCAGCAGGGAAUAUUGCGCAAUGAGCGAAAGCUUGACGCAGCGACACCGCGUGUGGGAUGACGGAUCUAGGUUUGUAAACCACUUUCAGGAGGGAAGAAAAUGACGGUACCUCCACAAGAAGCCCCGGCCAACUACGUGCCAGCAGCCGCGGUAAUACGUAGGGGGCGAGCGUUGUCCGGAUUUAUUGGGCGUAAAGAGCUCGUAGGCGGUUCAACAAGUCGGUCGUGAAAGUUCAGGGCUCAACCCUGAAAUGUCGAUCGAUACUGUUGUGACUAGGAUACGGUAGAGGUGAGUGGAAUUCCGAGUGUAGCGGUGAAAUGCGUAGAUAUUCGGAGGAACACCAAUUGCGAAGGCAGCUCACUGGGCCGCUAUCGACGCUGAGGAGCGAAAGCUAGGGGAGCAAACAGGAUUAGAUACCCUGGUAGUCCUAGCUGUAAACGAUGGAUACUAGACGUAGGAAUUGGAUUAACGAUUUCUGUGUCGUAGCUAACGCGUUAAGUAUCCCGCCUGGGGAGUACGGUCGCAAGACUAAAGCUCAAAGGAAUUGACGGGACCCCGCACAAGCGGCGGAGCAUGCGGCUUAAUUCGAUGAUACCCGUAGAACCUUACCUGGACUUGACAUAUAGGGAAAAGUUAUAGAAAUAUAAUGUGCAUUAGCGCCCUAUACAGGCGGUGCAUGGCUGUCGUCAGCUCGUGUCGUGAG
rnacentral:rRNA from 1 species